GACGAACGCUGGCGGCGUGCUUAACACAUGCAAGUCGAACGGAAAGGCCCUGCUUUUGUGGGGUGCUCGAGUGGCGAACGGGUGAGUAACACGUGAGUAACCUGCCCUUGACUUUGGGAUAACUUCAGGAAACUGGGGCUAAUACCGGAUAGGAGCUCCUGCUGCAUGGUGGGGGUUGGAAAGUUUCGGCGGUUGGGGAUGGACUCGCGGCUUAUCAGCUUGUUGGUGGGGUAGUGGCUUACCAAGGCUUUGACGGGUAGCCGGCCUGAGAGGGUGACCGGCCACAUUGGGACUGAGAUACGGCCCAGACUCCUACGGGAGGCAGCAGUGGAGAAUAUUGCAGAAUGGGCGGAAGCCUGAUGCAGCAACGCCGCGUGCGGGAUGCCGGCCUUCGGGUUGUAAACCGCUUUCGCCUGUGACGAAGCGUGAGUGACGGUAAUGGGUAAAGAAGCACCGGCUAACUACGUG
rnacentral:rRNA from 1 species